ACAAAAUUGACACUAAUUUGUCGCAACUCGUUCAAAAUAGAGAUUUAACUAAUAUGGCACCGGGGGUGGCUCUUUGAGCAUCUUUUCAUCCUAUCACCUUAUAACUCCGAAAAUUCUAAAAUAUUCAAUUUUUCAACCUUUUUGGCUUUUCAAUUAAAAUCCAUGUGGUAGCUUCACACACUUACCGGAUGACCAGAGUGGUAGCUCUUUCCUACAUGUGGUGCUAGUUUUCACACUCCUUUUGGAUGUAACUCUUUCCACAUCUUUCAAAUAUAAGAGUUUUUUUUUUAAAUAAUAUAAACUCCCCCUUAAUUAGACAAUCUCACAAUUAAAAAUAAUUUUGACAAAACUUUAGUCGAUUAGUGAAUAUCCAUCCAUCAUAUCCAACACACACAACCAAGAUGAAUUAAUCACCAAGAGAUCAAAAUUGAUUUCAAAAUUUUGAUGAAUAUAUGUAUUAAGAAUUCAUAUAAUCAAUUAUCGUCAAAAUAACAAAAAGUGAAGCAAAAUCGAUAAUUAAUAUAAAUUUAAUUUAAGAUGAAUUCCAGUUAAGGCAUUUUGAAAAAGUUCUAACCUCUCCAAAAUAAAGAUUUUCAAUCAUCUCCUUUCUCAAAGAAAAAUUUUUAAAUUUCCAAACACCUUUCCUCAAAUCAAUUUUAAAAAUAAAUUUCACACACGAAAAUCAUCAUGUAAUGCAAUGAAUAAAAAUAUGCAACAAGCACCAAAC
rnacentral:lncRNA from 1 species